rnacentral:rRNA from 1 species
AGCGAACGCUGGCGGCAGGCCUAACACAUGCAAGUCGAACGGACCCUUCGGGGUUAGUGGCGGACGGGUGAGUAACACGUGGGAACGUGCCUUUAGGUUCGGAAUAGCUCCUGGAAACGGGUGGUAAUGCCGAAUGUGCCCUUUGGGGGAAAGAUUUAUCGCCUUUAGAGCGGCCCGCGUCUGAUUAGCUAGUUGGUGAGGUAAUGGCUCACCAAGGCGACGAUCAGUAGCUGGUCUGAGAGGAUGACCAGCCACAUUGGGACUGAGACACGGCCCAAACUCCUACGGGAGGCAGCAGUGGGGAAUCUUGGACAAUGGGGGCAACCCUGAUCCAGCCAUGCCGCGUGAGCGAUGAAGGCCUUCGGGUUGUAAAGCUCUUUCGUGGGGGAAGAUAAUGACGGUACCCCAAGAAGAAGCCCCGGCUAACUCCGUGCCAGCAGCCGCGGUAA